UGGGAGUGUGGCUUAGCGGUAGAGCGCGUGCCUGGCAUGCAUGAGGCCCUGGGUUCGAUUCCCCAGCACCACAU